AUUGAACGCUGGCGGCAGGCUUAACACAUGCAAGUCGAACGAGCGGCGGACGGGUGAGUAAUGUCUGGGAAACUGCCUGAUGGAGGGGGAUAACUACUGGAAACGGUAGCUAAUACCGCAUACCAUCAGAUGUGCCCAGAUUGGAUUAGCUAGUAGGUGGGGUAAUGGCUCACCUAGUCGCCGAUCCCUAGCUGGUCUGAGAGGAUGACCAGCCACACUGGAACUGAGACACGGUCCAGACUCCUACGGGAGGCAGCAGUGGGGAAUAUUGCACAAUGGGCGCAAGCCUGAUGCAGCCAUGCCGCGUGUGUGAAGAAGGCCGUCGGGUUGUAAAGCACUUUCAGCGAGGAGGCGGUACUUGCAGAAGAAGCACCGGCAAACGACGGGCCAGCAGCCGCGGUAAUUC
rnacentral:rRNA from 1 species